CCCUUAGAUGUUCUGGGCUGCACGCGCGCUACACUGAUGCGUUCAACGAGUUUUUGACCUUGCCUGACACGGUUGGGUAAUCUUGUUAAAACGCAUCGUGAUGGGGAUAGAUUAUUGCAAUUAUUGAUCUUCAACGAGGAAUUCCUAGUAAGCGUGAGUCAUCAGCUCGUGCUGAUUACGUCCCUGCCCUUUGUACACACCGCCCGUCGCUCCUACCGAUUGAAUGGUCCGGUGAACCCUCCGGAUCGGCCCGCGCCAACGCAAGUUGAGCAAAGGCCGAGAAGUUGGGUAAACCUUACCAUUUAGAGGAAGGUGAAGUCGUAACA
rnacentral:rRNA from 1 species